rnacentral:rRNA from 1 species
CCUACGGGUGGCAGCAGUAGGGAAUCUUCCACAAUGGGCGCAAGCCUGAUGGAGCAACACCGCGUGAGUGAAGAAGGGCUUCGGCUCGUAAAGCUCUGUUGUUGGAGAAGAACGUGCGCGAGAGUAACUGUUCACGCGGUGACGGUACCCAACCAGAAAGCACCGGCUAACUACGUGCCAGCAGCCGCGGUAAUACGUAGGGGGCGAGCGUUAGCCGGAGUUAGUGGGCGUAAAGCGCCCGCAGGCGGUCGCUUAGGUCAAGUGUGAAAGCCUUCGGCUUAACCGAGGAAGUGCAUAGGAAACCGGGCAACUUGAGUGCGGAAGAGGACAGUGGAACUCCAGGUGUAGCGGUGGAAUGCGUAGAUAUAUGGAAGAACACCAGUGGCGAAGGCGACUGUCUGGUCUGCAACUGACGCUGAGGCUCGAAAGCAUGGGUAGCAAACAGGAUUAGAUACCCGUGUAGUC